ensembl:snRNA U5 U5 spliceosomal RNA
UCAAAUUGGUUUCUCUUCAUAACGCACAAGUCUUUCGCCUUUUACUAAAGACUUCCGUGGAGAGUGACUCCAACGAGUUUAGCCUAUUUUUGGCAGGCUUUGCUCUCUGGCAGAGC